rnacentral:rRNA from 1 species
GACGAACGCUGGCGGCGUGCUUAACACAUGCAAGUCGAACGCUGAAGCCCUUCGGGGUGGAUGAGUGGCGAACGGGUGAGUAACACGUGGGUAAUCUGCCCUGCACUCUGGGAUAAGCCUUGGAAACGGGGUCUAAUACCGGAUAGGACACAUCGCCGCAUGGUGGGUGUGUGGAAAGUUCCGGCGGUGCAGGUUGAGCCCGCGGCCUAUCAGCUUGUUGGUGGGGGGAAGGCCCACCAAGGGGACGACGGGGAGCCGGCCUGGGGAGGGGGACGGCCACACGGGGAACGGGAAACCGGCCGGAAUCCUAAGGGAGGGAACAAGGGGGAAUCCUGGGGAAUGGGCGGAAGCCUGACGCAGCAACGCCGCGUGGGGGAUGACGGCCUUCGGGUUGUAAACCUCUUUCGACCGGGACGAAGGAUUCGUUUGACGGUACCGGUAGAAGAAGCACCGGCUAACUACGUGCCAGCAGCCGCAGUAA